GACAGAGGGUGCAAACGUUGUUCGGAAUUACUGGGCGUAAAGCGUGUGUAGGCGGUUUGCUAAGUCGGGUGUGAAAGCCCCGGGCUCAACCCGGGAAGUGCACUCGAAACUGGCAAGCUAGAGUACUGGAGAGGUUGGUGGAAUUCUCGGUGUAGAGGUGAAAUUCGUAGAUAUCGGGAGGAACACCGGUGGCGAAGGCGGCGAUCUGGACGAUGACUGACGCUGAGACGCGAAAGCGUGGGGAGCAAACAGG
rnacentral:rRNA from 1 species